AAUUUUGAGCUGUCCUUGAACCUGUCAUGCACUGCUAAGUUGUUUGACUUUUUUAGACAGGUGUCAGUCAGGGAGGAAGAGCCUGUCACUGGUCACCUACCUUUUCCUAGCCUAUCGUGUGAGAGGGGUGGGACAGGAGUGAGUGUGAAGAGGGAAUCUGGAGAUCGACAUGUAAAGUUGUUGAAAUUACCACGUGGUGAGUUGUUGCUAAUUAGCCAAAGCAGUUGCUAGCUGUGUCGGAGGAACCAUACUUCUGCACCUAGUUUUGAAUCUGACCCAGGGGUGACAGUGCAGUGAAGUGCUCAGGACUGGUCUCUGCAGGGGAGGAGACAGACGGCUGGCUAUGCGUACCUGCCAUGGGAGUGUUCAUCAUCACACAAGUGGGACAGCUCGGGACAUCAGAGUUGCAACUGACCACAUCUUUUGAGUAUUAAAAGCACCUGGGGAUCCAGCCUUCAGCCGCCAACCGCCAGCCUUAGCAGCGGCUCUGUCAUGGGGGCUGAGGCUCGUCUGCGUGGCUGAUCGGAAGUGGCACGGUCGAGGAGAUGGAGCUCUCUGCCUGGGGUGCGGGAAUGGGGACAGUCCCCUACGGUCUCCUGCUCCCUUUCCCCCUCUUUUUUACUCCCUCACUCUCUCUUUCUUUCUCUCGUGUGCAAAUGCAUCUCCAUCUCUUAUGAUCUUUCGGUCUCCUUCUUUUCCCCUCGCUGUGAUCUCCCUUCUUCCCGAUUCCCUCCCACUCUCUCGCUCCCACCAUCUUUGUUUCUCGCACUUUCUCCUUCCCCACGGCCCGGCCUUCCUUCAUCUUAAUCCCUCUUCCUCCUUGAGUUUCUGUGUCUUUUUUAUUUUCUUGAGAGGUGAGUUCGGAUUCAUGAGGAAAGAAAAGAAGUCCUGUUGUGGGGAUUGCAGCACCUGUUAAACUUGCUGCACUUUGUAGACACACUUUUUUUCAUACCUUAUUCUUGUUUUGGACACGUUUGCAAACUCUUCUUAUCCUCCCCUCAACUUUUUCUCCUCUGCUUGUGGAAGUUUUAAUAUUUCAGUGACAUUUUUUCCACUCUGGAUGUGUUCUUAACUCAUUUUCUUGAGUUUUUUUUCUGCAAAGCAAAGUAGAUGCACAUACAAUAGUUCAUGCACACACUCCCUCCCCCCCACGCACACCCGCCUCUUUGCCUCUUUACACUUCACCCAUCUGUGGGGGCAAUUAUGUGCCCUGCUCUCAUCCUAGCGCAGCCACACACACACUCAGCAAAACCACAUUCAUCCCUCAGUGCACCUGCAUCCCUCAUGUUUCUAACAGUCCCACAAUGCCCUGCUUCUUAGUCUACCGGCCUACAACGCUCCAGGUUCCUGUGAGAACAGAUCAUUGUCAUCUUUCUCUUCCCUCCUUCUCUCCACUCCCCACUUUGGUGACAUACACAUUAUUUAUUUUAUGACUGAGGACUCAAUUUAAAUCCCCCUUUCUCCAUCAGUCACACGCCACACAAUGGCUUUCUCCUUAUCUACUGGAGUGUCCUUUUUACAACACAUCAGGGCGCCAUAACACACCAAUAAAUUCUACUGUUUCCGUAGUCUUACCUACUGAAAUCUGAGGUUUAAAUUCAGCCGGACGGGAGGGGGAAAGUGGCCAUGAAGAAAUUAUUACAGUUUGCUACCCCAUAUGUUGGCAUGAUGGUUGUAAACAAGUAGCUCCGCCUUAACUUUCAUUCUUUUUUAGUUAUUUUGAGGAUUCCUGCAGGAGGGAAAUAAACAAGCUGAUUAUUUUUCUUGUUAUUGUGGAGCGAAACUUUUCAUUGGCAGAGGACAAACGCGAACAUGAGUCGGGGUGACAUUGCUGACCAUGUCCAGCGGCCCAAUUACCUCUCUCCAAAUAUGGCGUACAAAAGCGG